rnacentral:rRNA from 1 species
CGUCACACCAUGGAAGGGGGUUGCAAAGAAAGGGUGGCCCCCUUCGGGGCGCCUAACUUUGUGAUUCCUAACUGGGGUGAAGUCG